UACGUAGGGUCCGAGCGUUGUCCGGAAUUAUUGGGCGUAAAGAGCUCGUAGGCGGUGUGUCGCGUCGGCCGUGAAAACCUGCAGCUUAACUGUGGGCUUGCGGUCGAUACGGGCAUCACUGGAGUUCGGCAGGGGAGACUGGAAUUCUUGGUGUAGCGGUGAAAUGCGUAGAUAUCAAGAGGAACACCUGCGGCGAAGGCGGGUUGCUGGGCCGACACUGACGCUGAGGCGCGAAAGCUAGGGGAGCGAACGGG
rnacentral:rRNA from 1 species